AACAUCCUAAUAUUUCAACAUGAACAACCAAAAUAAAAAAAAACUUCAGGCUAGACCAAAAUGUGGGGACUGUACAAUGCCCAAAAUCAUGUGGCUGCUGAAGCUAUCAUACGUGGCGUGUACUGGGAGCCUCAGAAUUAGUCCACACGUAUUUGCCUCUGGAAAAACUCUCUUCACACUGUCCCAAAUAUGAUAAAUUAAUAAAAUUAAGCAUGUUUGCUUAGAACGACUUUGUUCUCGAUGCCAUUUAAUGUUAAAGAUCGAAUGUCUAAUGAAUAUCUAUUAUAAAUACAACUUUAUUUCUGUUAAAAUUACACUCUUCUAUGUCAAGAUCACAAGGAAACAAGAAAGAAAUGUAAUUCAAGCAGAAAUCAUGCAUUUCCUCUCAGUUUUUCCCUACUGUUUGUAGCAUCCAAGCAAACUGAACAUUAAUGUGCUUGUACUUCACUUCAACACCAACUUAACAGAUAAACAUAAUUUAUCAAACAUAAAAUAGACUUUAUGCAGUUAUUAUUAUGCACUGUUACCACGUUUUGGGAAAUAUCUUAAAAACAACCUGUUACAAAUGCAUCUACUGUAAUGCAAACCUUACAUUUCGUGUAAAGCGAAGUAUACUGAGACGAUGUAUAUAUCAGGCGUCUUGUGAGGCGGCGUAUAUUGAGACGGCGUAUAUAUCAGGCGUCUUGUGAGGCGGCGUAUAUUGAGACGGCGUAUAUAUCAGGCGUCUUGUGAGGCGGCGUAUAUUGAGACGGCGUAUAUAUCAGGCGUCUUGUGAGGCGGCGUAUAUUGAGACGGCGUAUAUAUCAGGCGUCAUCUAAGGCAACGUAGCUAGGUUCAGACGUACUGAGAACACGUACUAUUUUUGUUAAAUUUCUUACGUACGCCGUCGUCACGUCGCCGCCUAUGAUUGGUUCCAACAGUGACGUCGCCGCGACGUCGCCGCGGGUCUGUCGUCUGCCCUCCCAUUCAAUCCCAUUCAAAAAUGAACACGGACUGACGGCGACGGAAGGGUCGACUGCUCCUUCUCCUUCUCCUGCUAAGGCCUUAGAUGUGUCACAAAAUGCACGCCAUAGUACAGGUGCAGUCUGUGUGGAGAAGGUGCGCUGUGUCAUGCAAUGAAUGAGAGGAACCAUGCUCUCAACAACUACCAACUGUGUCACAUAGAUGCCUGAUUGGGCAGAUAGAUGCUCAACUGAUCAAAAAAUAGGCUCAUGUAUUUUACUAUGGCACAGUAAUAUAGUAAUAAUCUACUACUUUUCUCGUUUUUCCCCCUGAUCAUUUGGAAUGAGAAUAAAAAGACAAACAACAACAACAACAACAAUCAAAUACAAAAAAAAAAAAACUUGCAAAUAAGUUCAAACAUCUAUUCAAUAUCUAUUAUUUCCUGAAUAUUACUGAUGAACUGAUCAAAAAGUAAGCUGCUGUUCACAUGUGUUUUACUACUAUAUAGUGUAGUGAUAUAGUAAUAAUUUAGUACUUUCUCCUGUUUUAUUGUUGGCUUCCUUUGUUCUGAUCAUUUGGAAUGAGGAUAAAAAAGACAUAUACACACACAAAAACAUGUAAAUAUGUUCAAACAUCAAUUCAAAAUCUAAUAUUUCCUGAAUAUUAUGAAAUUCGAGAUAGCCGCCCAUGGUGACGUCAUAAUAUGCAAAUUAGAUUAGUAUAUUUACACCCGAAGUAAACUUUUGAUCAUGCCAAACAUUUUUCUAAUUGACAGUAGAUCUCCAUCUUUAAGCCCUUUCAAGUCACAAGCUUUUGAAAUCUUGAUGCCAAAAUACAAAAUAUUUUUCCUAAAAUCCCUGGCGCCUUAAGGGUUAACGUUUCUGUGUUUGUAUUGCCCCGUUGAGAACUGUGGACUCUGUUUCUUCUCGCGAGAGUUCGCUCGUGAUACGGAAAUCCCUGUGACGUCAAUGUGCUCACUUUAGGAUUUAGCGAUCGAUCGCCUGAUCAUUAUUACCUGCUGUAUUUACCUGUGACUUUGAGUUGCUUCCUCGUGGAAAUAACCUGACACCAUUGGAUUAUUUUACUGAGGACUUCGUCACAGGACAGCGCUGUUCUCAACCUGCUCCCGGACUCCAAAUAAUAUUGCACCAUUGAGUCCGAGCCGAACACACACACACACACACAUGAGAACGAGUGUAAGCAAGUUCACGAAAGGUUGUGGGAUUGUGACGUCACAGAUGAAGGUUGUUCUGCUCUGACUUCAGCUCUGAGAUCAAACCCCUCACACCUGAGAGAACUGUAUCUGUCUGGGAAUAAAAUAAGAGAUUUGGGAGUGAAGCGUCUCUGUGCUGUACUGGAGGAUCCUCACUGUAAACUGGAGAAACUGGGGUUGUGGGAUUGUGGCGUCACAGAUGAAGGUUGUUCUGCUCUGACUUCAGCUCUGAGAUCAAACCCCUCACACCUGAGAGAACUGAGUCUGUCUUGGAAUAAUCUACAAAUAUCAGAAGUGAAGUUACUCUCUGAUCUGAAAGAUGAUCCACAUUAUAAACUGGAGAGAUUAGACUACUGACUCUCAGUAUUUAGACGUCAGUUCAGUUUCCUCAGGAUCAGCUGAUGGUGAAUAAGAGCCGCUACAGGAAUCAGUGAUGUGAAGUUAAAUGAAUGCAUGGAAGUGUAAUGUGUGGAGCAGUGUUGAUGAACAGAAGAAACAAGCUUCAAGGAAACUAAACUAAUUCAGCAAAAGACGUUUUUAUCCAAAGGACAUUAAGAAAAUAGUUGAUCUGUUUAUACAGCACUGAAAACCAAGAAAAUCAAUGUGAUAUUUUCAGUGAUGGGCUUAUAUCCUGAGCUGUCCAGAUUUAAUAUAGAUCAUCAUAACUGUGUAUCCUGAAAUUCAGAAAUAGACAACUUAUCACUUGUACAUUUUCUUAUAUUUUAAUCCAGUCUAACAUUUGAGUGUGUAACCUUUGUAUAUAUGUGUUUAUUUCUAUUAAAAUGUGUGUCAUUUCGAG